GACGAACGCUGGCGGCGUGCCUAACACAUGCAAGUCGAGCGGGGAACUUCGGUUCCCAGCGGCGGACGGGUGAGUAACACGUGGGUAACCUGCCUUAGUGAGGGGGAUAGCCUUCCGAAAGGAAGAUUAAUACCGCAUAACAUUAUUUUAUCGCAUGGUAGAAUAAUCAAAGGAGCAAUCCGCACUAAGAUGGACCCGCGGCGCAUUAGCUAGUUGGUGAGGUAACGGCCCACCAAGGCAACGAUGCGUAGCCGGCCUGAGAGGGUGAACGGCCACAUUGGAACGGAGACACGGUCCAGACUCCUACGGGAGGCAGCAGUGGGGAAUAUUGCACAAUGGGCGAAAGCCUGAUGCAGCAACGCCGCGUGAGUGAUGAAGGCCUUCGGGUUGUAAAGCUCUGUCUUCUGGGACGAUAAUGACGGUACCAGAGGAGGAAGCCACGGCUAACUACGUGCCAGCAGCCGCCGUAAAAC
rnacentral:rRNA from 1 species